UACAGAGGGUGCGAGCGUUAAUCGGAUUUACUGGGCGUAAAGCGCGCGUAGGUGGCUAAUUAAGUCAAAUGUGAAAUCCCCGAGCUUAACUUGGGAAUUGCAUUCGAUACUGGUUAGCUAGAGUAUGGGAGAGGAUGGUAGAAUUCCAGGUGUAGCGGUGAAAUGCGUAGAGAUCUGGAGGAAUACCGAUGGCGAAGGCAGCCAUCUGGCCUAAUACUGACACUGAGGUGCGAAAGCAUGGGGAGCAAACAGGAUUAGAUACCCUGGUAGUCCAUGCCGUAAACGAUGUCUACUAGCCGUUGGGGGAUUUGAUCCUUUAGUGGCGCAGCUAACGCGAUAAGUAGACCGCCUGGGGAGUACGGUCGCAAGACUAAA
rnacentral:rRNA from 1 species